GUACGCAAUCCGUAUCCUUCCCCUAUAUAUACAACCCUCCAUGUAUAUAUAUAUACGUAAGAUACAAGCCAUAAACGAGUGAACCUGAGCGUCGACGAGUUGCAUGUAUGAGAUUGUAAUUAAGGAGGGAUGCAUGAAGGAUUAAGAGCUUGUAACGUGGGAGUGAAUAGAAAAACAACAGGAACUUGGUGUUGUGAAUCUUGAGGACGCAACACACAAAGGGAUUCAUGAGGCUUUACAACUUCGAUAUUACUAUCCAGCAUCAUGAAGUUCAUAUGCAGGACAGCAGGAGGCUUAUGGCUUGUCAUUUAGUUCUUUAAAUAAUACCUAAUUUAAUUAAUUAAUUAGGUUAAUAUAUUAUGAUAUGAAUGCUAUAUAUCAGAAGGAAAAACGGUUUAAAUGUUUUUUUACAGGAUAUGAAAGCUAUAUUUCCAUCUGAAUACAACUCAUUCUAUGCAUGCUUGGGUAUCAGGAUACUGAUGAGAUUAGUUACAGGAAAACAGGGAUUCCAAUGGUUAAAAUCUUUAUAAUUAACCCUAAAGUAUAUAUACAUAUGUCUUCCUCUGAUUUUCUUUUGAAAUAAGAUGACACUUAUUCCUUGUUUUU